GAUGAAGAACGUAGCGAAAUGCGAUAAGUAAUGUGAAUUGCAGAAUUCAGUGAAUCAUCGAAUCUUUGAACGCACAUUGCGCCCGCCAGUAUUCUGGCGGGCAUGUCUGUUCGAGCGUCAUUUCAACCCUCAAGCCCCCGGGCUUGGUGUUGGGGAUCGGCGUGCCCUCGCGGCGCGCCGUCCCCUAAAUCUAGUGGCGGUCUCGCUGUAGCUUCCUCUGCGUAGUAGCAACACUCGCACUGGAUCGCAGCGCGGCCACGCCGUUAAACCCCCCACUUCUGAAAGUUUGACCUCGGAUCAGGUAGGAAUACCCGCUGAACUUAAGCAUAUCAAUAAGCGGAGGA
rnacentral:misc_RNA from 1 species